AGCGGCGACGGGUGAGUAACGCGUGAGCAAUCUGCCUUUACAGGGGAUAACGCAUCGAAAGAUGUGCUAAUACCGCGUAAGACCACAGCACCGCAUGGUGCAGGGGUCAAAGGAGCAAUCCGGUAAAAGAUGAGCUCGCGUCCGAUUAGCUAGUGGUGAGNUAACAGCCCACCAAGGCGACGAUCGGUAGCCGACCUGAGAGGGUGAUCGGCCACAUUGGAACUGAGACACGGUCCAGACUCCUACGGGAGGCAGCAGUGGGGAAUAUUGGGCCAAUGGGCGAAAGCCUGACCCAGCAACGCCGCGUGAGGGAAGAAGGGUUUCGGCUCGUAAACCUCUGUCCUAUGGGACGAAGAAGUGACGGUACCAUAGGAGGAAGCCCCGGCUAACUACGUG
rnacentral:rRNA from 1 species